CCUACGGGUGGCAGCAGUGAGGAAUAUUGGUCAAUGGGAGGAAUCCUGAACCAGCCAUGCCGCGUGCAGGACGACGGCUCUACGAGUUGUAAACUGCUAUUGUAACGGGGUAAAAUGCACUACGAGUAGGGUUUUGAAAGUACGGUACGAAGAAGGAUCGGCUAACGCCGGGCCAGCAGCCGCGGGAAUACGGAGGAUCCGAGCGUUAUCCGGAUUCAUUGGGGUUAAAGGGUGCGGAGGGUGUUUUAUAAGUUAGCGGUGAAAUACCGAUGCUCAACAUCGGGGCUGCCGCUGAUACUGUAGGACUAGAGAUCGGAUGCAGCAGGCGGAAUGUGUAGUGUAGCGGUGAACUGCAUAGAUAUUACUC
rnacentral:rRNA from 1 species